CGAGAGGUGGUGUUGCCUUGGCCUUGUCUAGUGACCAUAAGCCUGAGAGAGUGGAUGAGUUGAAGAGAAUUGAAGCUGCGGGUGGAAAAGUCAUCAAUUGGAA